rnacentral:lncRNA from 1 species
GCAAAAGAAAAGGAACAAUACAAGAUCUGAAACCAACAAGUCAAAGUCUGCCCCCACUACAACAAAAAGGACAAACAUAUAAAGGCUUACAAAAACUACACCCUAAACAAAACAAAAAAGGCAGGCGGCCUAAAAAACACAAAGGCAACACCUGCCGAAACCAAAAAGCCUUGCUGCAACAGCACAACACAGCACCAAAAAACCACCAAAAGGAAAACUAGCGCAGUAAGCAAUCUCCGGGAUCCCAUGUCCAUUCAUAAUACAUACAUGGAGGCACUUUUAAU